rnacentral:rRNA from 1 species
AAAAACAUGUCUUUUUGAAAAUAAUUUAAAGUCUGACCUGCCCACUGAAGAGAGAAAAUUUGAAGGGCCGCAGUAUUUUGACUGUGCAAAGGUAGCAUAAUCAUUAGUCUUUUAAUUGAGGACUGGUAUGAAUGGUUUAACGAAGUAUUAACUGUCUCAUUUUAAUAAGUUGAAAUUAACUUUUGAGUUAAAAGGCUUAAAUAAAGUUAAAGGACGAGAAGACCCUAUAGAGCUUUAUAAAUUUAGUAUUGAAUGUAAUUUGGAAGUAGUAUUAAUUUAAAUAUAGAAUUUAUUUUAUUGGGGUGAUAUGAAGAUUUAAUAAACUCUUUAUAAUGAUUAAACAUUAAUAAAUGAAUAAUUGAUCCAUUUUUAGUGAUUAUAAGAUUAAGUUACCUUAGGGAUAACAGCGUAAUGUUUUUUGAGAGUUCUUAUCAACAAAAAAGAUUGCGACCUCGAUGUUGGAUUAAGGAGAAGGUUGGGUGUAGAAGUUCAAAUAUUUAGGUCUGUUCGACCUUUAAAUCCUUACGUCAUCUG